rnacentral:rRNA from 1 species
GGGGAAUUUUCCGCAAUGGGCGAAAGCCUGACGGAGCAAUACCGCGUGAGGGACGAAGGUCUGUGGAUUGUAAACCUCUUUUGUUAGGGAAGAUAAUGACGGUACCUAACGAAUAAGCAUCGGCUAACUCCGUGCCAGCAGCCGCGGUAAGACGGAGGAUGCAAGCGUUAUCCGGAAUUAUUGGGCGUAAAGCGUACGUAGGCUGUUUCAUAAGUCUGUUGUCAAAGCGCGAGGCUUAACCUUGUAAAGGCAAUGGAAACUGUGAGGCUAGAGAGAGAAAGGGGCAGGAGGAAUUCCAGGUGUAGCGGUGAAAUGCGUAGAUAUCUGGAAGAACACCAGUGGCGAAAGCGUCCUGCUGGAUCUCAACUGACGCUGAAGUACGAAAGCUAGGGGAGCGAAUGGGA